AGGUGGUGGGAGAUCAGAGCAGCUGUCCCGGACCUCAAUCCAGAUUCAGCAGGGACUCAGCACAGGUAAAGGCCCAGGAAGGCGACAAGUUUUCAGCACACUAUGACGAUUAAGAGGCAGAUUGUUGUGUUUCAUCCUGGUUGAAGCACGGUGCGCAUCUCUGAAGGGAAGGUGCAGGGCUGACUUUGCAGCCUUUCCAGGAGACGCUCCAGAGUCGGGCAGUGGAGGCUUCAAAGGCUGUAUGAUUUUAGUCUGAAUUUCGUUUGCCUGGAAGCACCUACCACCCAGGCACAGCGCUGCUCACUGAGCUUCUGGCACAGAUGCGCUCAGAGCAAAGGACAUCCAGCAGAGAUGGAAGAUGCUGGGGCAGGAAGAUGGGGAGUGCUAGCAGAGAGCCGGCUUUUCCGAGUCCUGCUAUGAACUGCUGUUGAUGCUGCAACGCCAGGGUUGGAGGGGCAAAUUGUCCAAUGAAUUCUUGACCUAUUGAAAGACUCUCUACCUCCACUGGGUUCACAAACAGUCAGCAGCCCUCCGCCAUGCAGGCUGACUGGCUAAAUAUCAGCAGACAAGGAUGUCCAGUUGAUGGGUGAAGUAUUCUGGGAUUUCCUAACCUCCAAGACCCCAUGGAAUCCAUAGGGAAGCUGUUGUCCUGCACCUACCUGCCUAGGAGCUAACUAUAUGAAUGGAAAAUGCCUUACCUCAGUGCUCCAAAAUGUUCCCAAACUUCAUCUUACAGUAAAGCUAAGUGGAGCAGGAAGGAGGAUAUGUUUGCUCAGCUGAUCCCAGAAACACCUAAAGAUGUCAGUCCAGUCAGGCCUGUGAUCUCAGCUCCGUAUCUCACUACUUUCUAUGUAUUAAGCAAGGGUGUAAAACUUACUCAAGGGAGUUCGGGGGAAAAAGCAAGAAAAUUGUUUCUUUUGGAUGAAACUUUAAAGCAAGGUCUACCAGUCCAACUCCUGUGACCUGAUCCCAUAGCGUUUGCAGAGGCCACAUCACAGCCUCUAAAUCUUGUUUACCUAGCCAGAAUCACAUGUGUGCAGAAUGUCUUCCCACUUCAGUAACCCUUUGCUACUUGAGAGCACUCUUCUGUGAGAGGGAGAAAUCUGGAGGACCCAACCCAAAAUCAAGUCACCAAUAUGGAGAUGAGCCCAAAUGGCAUUAGUAGGAAUGCAACAUUUUACCUUUUCCUGGUUCUCUGGUGCAAAGUCAUGCAAUAUGGUCAAGUUGCUGGAGUAUAACCUUUUAAUGGAGGUUUACAGCAACGGUGUGGAAAGCCAGAGAAAUCCUGCAGGCUCAGUGGGUUGCAGGUCCCGAUAUGAGAACGCAGAGUGUGCCAGCUGGCUUCUACAGUGACGGGAAGGACACUCAGGGAGGCCUUCCUUAAAGCCCUGUAGCGACACAUAUACCAUCCAUUUGGAUUUUCAUCUGCUGCACCUUUUCUUGGUACUUCUGCUAUCUUGCUUAUUUUGGAAUACUCAAGAUACUGCUUCCUGUUUGCAUUCUGAUUCCCCUGUCGCCUCAUGGGAAAUGCAAAGAGGCUGGGGUCUGCCCAAGUGUAGCCGAGGGCAGAACUUGGCACGUGGAGUCAUUUCACAUGCUGUUGAUUUCAAUCUGCUCAAAGCCCCAGGGAGAGGAGAAUCAGUCCAUACUGCACAGUUCAUGACCUCAGAAGUAGACAGAGACUAAGUUCAAAUGAAGGGGGAAAAAAAACACUGGAGAAGUCAGAACUGAGCAAGAACCAAGGGAUUUGGCAUGAGAAAUUAUCUCAGUGGAAAACUAAGUAAAAGGGAAAAGCUGGCUUGAUUUGUUCAAAAGUAACAUUAUCCAGGGAGAUGAGAAAGAAAACUACUGACAGGAAAAUCUCUCUUUUGUGUGAUUGUGCUGGAGUGAAGGCCUCCUGGAAAACGACUGCGAAGCUCUGUGAAGAAGUCAUGCUUUUAGAAUCCUGGAAUAUAAAUUUGUGCCAUGCAAUUGCACAAGUCCUCCCUUACAGCGUCCCACUCGGGGCUCUGUAUCGUAAUGUAUUGCUAGGCUUUAUAGCCCAGAGAUUUAAUGCAUGUGGUUAAGUGUCCAAUGUCCAUACAUCAUUUUAGUAGUUAGUGGGAGGUGCGUCCCCAAGAGUUGGACAAAGAUUGCUGCCAAAGGGUGUGAGGCGAAAUAUUUUGGCCCAUUAACAAAGCUCACGUUAAGAAAUACAAACUUGGUGUAAAGAUGCUGACAGCCUGGAGGAACAUUGGAGAAGAAAACUGAAAAAUACUGAAAUAGGAGGAGAGUUCUAGGAAAAAACAGCAAAAGCGUGACAUCUAGGAGACACUGCUUUCUGCAGCUAUUCGAGGGUGAGAACAAAGAAUGGGACUUAGAGUUGCCCAGGAAAGGUGCAAGAACAACAAACUGCGUGGGGUAAAGAACAGUGAAAGUCAGAGCCUGUAAAAGAGAAGACAGGUGCCGCUUGACUCCUGCUGGGUUUUCUGAGGGAAGAAAGCUCGAUUGUUUGUGGUUUCAAAAGACCCUGUUGGAAGCACUAGUGAAUGCAAGGCAGAUUGUGUUUCUGCACCAGGUGGAACCUAACAAAGUAGGUUCCUCCCUCACGUUUCCGAUUCCACAUCUCCAGCCAGAUAUGGCUUCAGACUGAAGUCCUGGCACUGCAUCUUCAAGUCUUUGCAAAACUUUCCUAUCCAGAACUCCUAGUUUUGCCUGCAACCAAACCAAAAUCCUAUUCCAGACCUCUGUGCUAUGAGGUGUCUGAAGUUAAGUUUUUCAGCUGGGGGUCUAUUGUUUCGUGUCACGUUGUUAUAACUUUCAGGAAACUGUUGUUCUUUGGCUCGUAUAUACAACUUCAUACAGGGACCUGAUAUAGCUGCUCCUGAAGAGUCUGCAGAAGAAACUAUUUGCCAUCAUUUUUGCAAAUUAUGACUUUUUUGCCUUUGCCUGAUUUCACUGGCUGUUGCUCGCUCAUACGGCUUCAGUUGGAUCUGAGGCUCAGAAGUUUGGAAUCCUUCCUAUACCUAGGAGGACAGCCUUCACCAAAGCCUAUAGUCAGCCGAGCUAAAGCAUGGAGUAUUUUUAACAGUUCUUGAAACACGUUUUAAUUUUAGAGCUUUGAUUCUUUUUUUCCUGGCUGCAGGUUUGAAGGUUUUGCAACCAAUACCAUCUGUCACCUCGGGAUCCAUGCCCAAGUCCGAGCAUUAUGGCUGAAAAGAGGACUUGUCUUAUGAUACUAAGCUCCCAUCUAGACUUUCAAGACCCAAGUCAAUGCUUUAAACUUUAGUAGAGAGUCUAAGAUUGCACACACAAAAACCGUUUUCCCAGCAGCUUAUUUCCAUCUUUGAAAAAAUGAAUUAUUUUGCUUCUCUU